rnacentral:misc_RNA from 1 species
CAUUGUACUUAAAAUUAUUACAAUCUGUCAAAAGAUGCAUGAAAUUCGUUAUUACACGCAUAUUGCGAUACUAAUAGUACAAGUUAAAUAAAUUACCGUAUCAUAGCUCGAUACGAUUCGCAUCAAUCAGUUCCCUCAUCGGUCUUCGAGUUUCAGGUAAAAACAUAUUGUGCUAUCCACUGACUUACAGGCAAAACGCGAUGCUCGGUGGUUAGCACGAUGAGAUCUUCGUUAGCACCACGUUUAGAGUCGUCGUCUACAGCCCCGUUUGUCAUUUCUCUAUCUCCUCCUGGACAUGACCAUCUGGAAGUUCAAUAGCCAAGUUCGCCUGCUGAUCCGCGUCACAGUUAGAUUCCCGAAGAACAUGAAUGAUGCGGAAAGAAAAAAACCUAUCCUUUAGUUGUUUUGCCUGCUGAAAUAGCGUAGAGAUGUUUUGAUUUUUAACUUUCCAUAGACCCUGGAUCUGCAUACAAACAAGUUUGGAAUCACCCUGAGCACGAAUACUUGUAAACCCUUUGCUAUGUGCAUAUUUCAAACCCAAGAUAAAGCCUCGAUAUUCAGCAACACUGGUUGUUGCUAUUCCUAAACCUUCACGCAGCCUACAGAUCAAACUUCCAUCGUCAGCUCGUACUACAGCUCCUGCACCAGCUUGUCCUGGGUUUCCUUUUGAAGUACCAUCAAAUUCAAGAGUACAAGACCGCUGCUGAGGAUAACCACGAUCAGCUUCCUUCAUUCCAACAGCAUAAACACCGGAUGAUAGAGCUUGCUGGUCACCCUUAGGAGGUUCUAACUUGAUAUGCUUUCUUAGGGAAUCAUUUGAAGCAACAACUGAUCCAACAGCAUCCGCAUAUUCUGACCACAUUGCUUCCUGUGGCCUCUUCUUUGGCAAAUGAUCAGAUGUUCCACUUUUUGAAGAAGAAGGUUGCUGAAAAGGGCAUGGUACUAGAG